UGAUAGCUGCGGGGUGCGUUAGGGGCUCACUGAAUACCCGGGCCCUAUAAGAUCCUUAAGGGAGCUGACCCUGACUGAGGCCCUGGCCUCGGAUACUCGGCACCCACCUGCUAGCCAGGGACCCAGGGGAUCGAAAUGCCCCGACGGCCUUCGCGGCUCCAUU
rfam:Rhodomicrobium vannielii ATCC 17100, complete genome.